UCGAAUGCGGCUGUCCCGGGUAAGCUUCGUAAUAAAAUUUUCCCUCCAAACACCCUGGGGGGUUGGGGGGUUCGGCCCAAACUGUGUUCCAACCGGUUAACGGGGGGUUUGGGUCUCCCCCCCGGGAGAAGAGCCCUUGGAAAACCGGUUUUUUCACUUCCAAGGGAGGCCAGCCGGCGCGCCAAAUUUCCCCCAUUCCCGCACCGGGGGGAGUUUGGGACAAUUAAUUCUGAACCAAGGGCUCUUUUGGGUUCUUGUAAUUGGAAAGGAGUACAAUUUAAAUCCCUUAACGAGGAACAAUUGGAGGCCAAGUCUGGUCCCAGCAGCCGCGGUAAUUCCAGCUCCAAUAGCGUAUAUUAAAGUUGUUGUGGUUAAAAAGCUCGUAGUUGAACCUUGGGCCUGGCUGGCCGGUCCGCCUCACCGCGUGUACUGGUCCGGCCGGGCCUUUCCCUCUGUGGAACCCCAUGCCCUUCACUGGGUGUGGCGGGGAAACAGGACUUUUACUGUGAAAAAAUUAGAGUGCUCCAGGCAGGCCUAUGCUCGAAUACAUUAGCAUGGAAUAAUAGAAUAGGACGUGUGGUUCUAUUUUGUUGGUUUCUAGGACCGCCGUAAUGAUUAAUAGGGACAGUCGGGGGCAUCAGUAUUCAAUUGUCAGAGGUGAAAUUCUUGGAUUUAUUGAAGACUAACUACUGCGAAAGCAUUUGCCAAGGAUGUUUUCAUUAAUCAGGAACGAAAGUUAGGGGAUCGAAGACGAUCAGAUACCGUCGUAGUCUUAACCAUAAACUAUGCCGACUAGGGAUCGGACGGUGUUAUUUUUUGACCCGUUCGGCACCUUACGAGAAAUCAAAGUGCUUGGGCUCCAGGGGGAGUAUGGUCGCAAGGCUGAAACUUAAAGAAAUUGACGGAAGGGCACCACCAGGGGUGGAGCCUGCGGCUUAAUUUGACUCAACACGGGGAAACUCACCAGGUCCAGACACAAUGAGGAUUGACAGAUUGAGAGCUCUUUCUUGAUUUUGUGGGUGGUGGUGCAUGGCCGUUCUUAGUUGGUGGAGUGAUUUGUCUGCUUAAUUGCGAUAACGAACGAGACCUUAACCUGCUAAAUAGCCCGUAUUGCUUUGGCAGUACGCUGGCUUCUUAGAGGGACUAUCGGCUCAAGCCGAUGGAAGUUUGAGGCAAUAACAGGUCUGUGAUGCCCUUAGAUGUUCUGGGCCGCACGCGCGCUACACUGACGGAGCCAGCGAGUACUUCCUUGUCCGAAAGGUCCGGGUAAUCUUGUUAAACUCCGUCGUGCUGGGGAUAGAGCAUUGCAAUUAUUGCUCUUCAACGAGGAAUCCCUAGUAAGCGCAAGUCAUCAGCUUGCGUUGAUUACGUCCCUGCCCUUUGUACACACCGCCCGUCGCUACUACCGAUUGAAUGGCUCAGUGAGGCGUCCGGACUGGCCCAGAGAGGUGGGCAACUACCACUCAGGGCCGGAAAGCUCUCCAAACUCGGUCAUUAGAGAAGUUGAGGGGAACGGCAC
rnacentral:rRNA from 1 species